rnacentral:rRNA from 1 species
CCUACGGGUGGCAGCAGUGAGGAAUAUUGGUCAAUGGGCGUAAGCCUGAACCAGCCAAGUCGCGUGAGGGAUGAAGGUUCUAUGGAUCGUAAACCUCUUUUAUAAGGGAAUAAAGUGUGGGACGUGUCCUGUUUUGUAUGUACCUUAUGAAUAAAGAUAGGCUAACUCCGUGCCAGCAGCCGCGGUAAUACGGAGGAUCCGAGCGUUAUCCGGAUUUAUUGGGUUUAAAGGGUGCGUAGGCGGCCUUUUAAGUCAGCGGUGAAAGUCUGUGGCUCAACCAUAGAAUGGCCGUGGAAACUGGGAGGCUUGAGUAUGUUUGAGGCAGGCGGAAUGCGUGGUGUAGCGGUGAAAUGCUUAGAUAUCACGCAGAACCCCGAUUGCGAAGGCAGCCUGCCAAGCCAUGACUGACGCUGAUGCACGAAAGCGUGGGGAUCAAACAGGAUUAGAUACCCCUGUAGUC